CCUACGGGAGGCAGCAGUGGGGAAUAUUGCACAAUGGGGGAAACCCUGAUGCAGCGACGCCGCGUGAGUGAAGAAGUAAUUCGUUAUGUAAAGCUCUAUCAGCAGGGAAGAAAAUGACGGUACCUGAGUCAGAAGCCCCGGCUAACUACGUGCCAGCAGCCGCGGUAAUACGUCGGGGGCAAGCGUUAACCGGAUUUACUGGGGGUAAAGGGAGCGUAGACGGCAGUGCAAGUCUGGAGUGAAAGGCGGGGGCGCAACCCCCGGAAUGCUCUGGAAACUGGACGGCUGGAGUGCAGGAGAGGUAAGUGGAAUGCCUAGUGUAGCGGUGAAAUGCGUAGAUAGUAGGAGGAACACCAGUGGCGAAGGCGGCUUACUGGACUGUAACUGACGUUGAGGCUCGAAAGCGUGGGGAGCAAACAGGAUGAGAUACCCGAGUAGUC
rnacentral:rRNA from 1 species